GGCCCGGUAGCUCAGCGGUAGAGCAGGAGACUUUUAAUCUCUUGGUCGUGGGUUCGAAUCCCACCCGGGUCACCC
rnacentral:tRNA from 4 species